UACGUAGGGUGCAAGCGUUGUCCGGAAUUAUUGGGCGUAAGGAGCUCGUAGGCGGUCUGUCACGUCGGCUGUGAAAACUCGGGGCUCAACCCCGAGCCUGCAGUCGAUACGGGCAGACUAGAGUCCGGCAGGGGAGACUGGAAUUCCUGGUGUAGCGGUGAAAUGCGCAGAUAUCAGGAGGAACACCGGUGGCGAAGGCGGGUCUCUGGGCCGGAACUGACGCUGAGGAGCGAAAGCGUGGGGAGCGAACAGG
rnacentral:rRNA from 1 species